UCCUAGGCUUGAUAUUCCUUUUACAAGGGGUAGUAAGCCAUCCAUCUAUCCACCAUGUGAAAACACUCCUUGACCUUGUAUUCUGCCGCGAAAUGUCCUGCUCCCUGUACGAUACACCCCGAGAAGUCAAAGGAAACAUGUCAAAAAGUGCCCCAGUUAUUAGGUUACGUUGAGAGAGUAUGCUCGUGUACUUCGAUAUUCUUAUGUACGGCACACGGCGCUUGCGUGCAUGAGGCCAGGAAAUUGAAGAAAAAUUUGAAGGACAUACCCUGCUGUCUGGCCGUCCACAGACCACACCCUCCAACUCUCAUCUAAAGUCAGAUUCAGAGCGUUUAUCCAGGCUUGAGUACCGAUGUGCGGGAUUGACAUAUCAUGAUCCCCACUGCACCAGAAUGACAAAUUUAUAGACACAGUGAAGUGAAAAAGUAAUAGAGGGAUUCGAAAUCCGAAGGCGUUCUUGAUAACGAAACAUGAAAAGAAAAUGCCAUUCGGUACCUGAAGAUGAGAGCCCGUACGUUUGCCUUGGUGAGGUUUUUGUGAUAAUCGACGACGCUGCUAACGACCUUCGUGUAAGCUAAUGUCAUGUUGCAGUAUGGCCAGUAGGUCGUUGUCCCCUGCUCAGCGACAUGCAUACACAUGCAUCGGAAAUUCCAGCAUGUUUAGGUUGGACGCCGGAUCAUGGCAUGGUAAAUUUAGAAGUGUUCGAUGAUGGAACGUGGGCAUCAAUCGAACUACUGUAUUGCUGAGAACGAGUGCGUGCAUGCGCGAAGGUGUGUACAUGGAUGUUUGUUAAUGAGAAAGCAUCUUAUGUUGAGACA